rnacentral:rRNA from 1 species
UACGGAAGGUCCGGGCGUUAUCCGGAUUUAUUGGGUUUAAAGGGAGCGCAGGCCGGAGAUUAAGCGUGACGUGAAAUGUAGACGCUCAACGUCUGAAUUGCGUCGCGAACUGGUUUCCUUGAGUGCAUUCGACGUCAGCGGAAUUUGUGGUGUAGCGGCGAAAUGCUUAGAUAUCACGAAGAUCUCCGAUUGCGAAGGCAGCUGGCGAGACUGUAACUGACGCUAAAGCUCGAAAGUGCGGGUAUCGAAC